rnacentral:rRNA from 1 species
GAAACAGUUGCUAAGGCUGGAUAGGAAAUAAAAAGGCAUCUUUUUAUUUUUAAAAGACCUUCUUCGGAGGGUAUGCUUAAAGAGGGGCUUGCGUCACAUUAGUUAGUUGGUAGGGUAAUGGCCUACCAAGACGAUGAUGUGUAGCUGGACUGAGAGGUUGAACAGCCACAUUGGGACUGAGACACGGCCCAAACUCCUACGGGAGGCAGCAGUAGGGAAUUUUCGGCAAUGGAGGAAACUCUGACCGAGCAACGCCGCGUGAACGACGAAGUACUUCGGUAUGUAAAGUUCUUUUAUUGAAGAAGAAACAAUAGUGGAAAAACUAUCUUGACGUUAUUCAAUGAAUAAGCCCCGGCUAACUAUGUGCCAGCAGCCGCGGUAAUACAUAGGGGGCGAGCGUUAUCCGGAAUUAUUGGGCGUAAAGGGUGCGUAGGCGGUUUAAUAAGUCUCUAGUUUAAUUUCAACGCUUAACGUUGUCCUGCUAGAGAAACUGUUUGACUAGAGUGAGAUAGAGGUAAGCGGAAUUCCAUGUGUAGCGGUAAAAUGUGUAAAUAUAUGGAGGAACACCAGAGGCGUAGGCGGCUUACUGGGUCUUUACUGACGCUGAUGCACGAAAGCGUGGGGAGCAAACAGGAUUAGAUACCCUGGUAGUCCACGCCGUAAACUAUGAGUACUAAGUGUCGGGGUUAAACUCGGUACUGAAGUUAACACAUUAAGUACUCCGCCUGAGUAGUACGUACGCAAGUAUGAAACUUAAAGGAAUUGACGGGAUCCCGCACAAGCGGUGGAUCAUGUUGUUUAAUUCGAAGAUACACGAAAAACCUUACCAGGUCUUGACAUACUCUGCAAAACUAUAGAAAUAUAGUGGAGGUUAUCAGGGAUACAGGUGGUGCAUGGUUGUCGUCAGCUCGUGUCGUGAGAUGUUAGGUUAAGUUCUAAAACGAGCGCAACCCCUGUCGUUAAUUGCCAGCACGUUAUGGUGGGGACUUUAGCGAGACUGCCAAUGAAAAAUUGGAGGAAGGUGGGGAUUACGUCAAAUCAUCAUGCCCCUUAUGAUCUGGGCUACAAACGUGAUACAAUGGCUAUUACAAAGAGUAGCUUAAACGCGAGUUUUUGGCAAAUCUCAAAAAAAUAGUCCUAGUUCGGAUUGAAGUCUGCAACUCGACUUCAUGAAGUUGGAAUCGCUAGUAAUCGCGAAUCAGCAUGUCGCGGUGAAUACGUUCUCGGGGUUUGUACACACCGCCCGUCA